rnacentral:rRNA from 1 species
AUACGUAGGGGGCGAGCGUUGUCCGGAAUGAUUGGGCGUAAAGGGCGCGUAGGCGGCCCGGUAAGUCUGGAGUGAAAGUCCUGUUUUUAAGAUGGGAAUUGCUUUGGAUACUGUCGGGCUUGAGUGCAGGAGAGGUAAGUGGAAUUCCCAGUGUAGCGGUGAAAUGCGUAGAGAUUGGGAGGAACACCAGUGGCGAAGGCGACUUACUGGACUGUAACUGACGCUGAGGCGCGAAAGUGUGGGGAGCAAACAGGAUUAGAUACCCUGGUAGUCCACACUGUAAACGAUGAAUACUAGGUGUAGGGGGUAUCGACCCCUUCUGUGCCGGAGUCAACACAAUAAGCAUUCCGCCUGGGGAGUACAGCCGCAAGGUUGAAACUCAAAUGAAUUGGCGGGG